rnacentral:lncRNA from 1 species
GUAGCAAAGAGAGAAUAUGAUCUGCGGUGGAACCGCCUGACUUGGCGGCGAGGAAGCUGAGGACGACAUUGAUUGACGCCGGCGAAAACACGAGGUUGGAGGUUUUCGCGGCGGGGGUGGUGGCGAUCACGUGAUUAGCCACUCUAAGAGCAAGCUCAUUUUGCUUCCCUACUGAUUUUCGGAGGUCUAUAUUUUAAGGCGCGGUGAGACGGUGAAUAUGAAAGCCAAAGAUGUGAGAUUAGGUAAAAAGAUUUAUCCCCACAAUCUUAUUUAUAGAGCUUCUAAUAUGAAAAAUUCCAAAUUCCAAAUAUUUUACUUAAAACUAAAAAAAAGGAAAAGUAUUUUUUGAAAAAGGGAAAAUCUUAAAUAAAAGGUCACUUCCUUUCAAUUUCAAUUUAAAUCCUAUAUUUUAAAAUUUUAACAUAUACUAAAAACUAGACUUUAGACUUGAAAUCCAAAUCCUAAACCUUAAAUUCAGAAAAUUGAAUUCUAAACUGGAAAUAAAAAUCCCAAAGUAGUGUAUUUUAUUUAGUCUAUUGUUAAUCAAGAUUUUGUUAUUAAUUAUCCUAAUGAAUAAAAUAAUGAAGUUAAUUGGAUUUGACCACGUGACAGGUAAAAGAUUCCUUAUAAUUUUUCUGAAUUAAUUAUUGUAAACGCAAUCAAGAAAAAGAAUACGACAGAACAGUGUCAGACGUAAGUUUAAAACUCUCUCUAAAUUAUGAUUUAAGAUACGUUAAGUAACCCCAACUACUCGUUUGAUGUGUAGCUUUCGCGAUGUGAAUCUAAUGAAUACUUUAUUCUAUAAAUUUUAAUAUAGCUGAACCAGAAAACAUGGCAAUUUUUAUAAAGCCAAUAAUGGGAUUAUUUCAUUUUUAUGAGAUCAUCAAUAAUAUGAAUUUUCAAGACAAAGAAAAGUUGGAGGAACACUACAAAGAAGGCAUAACCAAGAAUCUGUUGAAGCCAAGCAAAGCUUAAAGAGCUAAGGGCAUCCCCAUUGAGAGUUCAAUGGGGGAGUUCACACGGAAGAUCAAUCUGAAGCCGGUGUGAGAGAGUCUUGGGUGACCGAUCUUGUUUAUGAUCCUCGUGAUUUGGUUUCUGCCACUUAGUAAAACAUACAUGCUUCUUCUUUUCUUUUGGAUCUCUUCAUCAACAAGCACCUCAUGUCAAACAUUUGUAUCACCAAGAUUAUUUAGUCUUUUCUUUUUGAUUAAUUGGGGUAUCACAUGCUUAUAAAAGGUUCAAACUAAUUUUGAAAAAAGUGCAGUUCAUGAAGACUUUUUCUUCAAGUUAUAAAUGGGACGAAAGUAUAUUCUUUUUCUUGUAGUUUUUCUUAGUUGUGUAUAUGCAAAAAUUUAAAUAAUUCCAGCAAAUGUUGACAUUGAUUGGCAAACGUAGAUGUUCUAUUACAAAAUACACGUCUAAUCACCACGCGCAUGUGAAACAGGUUCAAGAACAGACAUAGUCGAAAGCAGAUGUCCUCAUGAUAUUGCAUCUUCUCGAGAGUAACUUUUAUUUUAUGUUGUGUAAAAGAACUUCGAAGAGGAUGAAUGACUUUUCUUUUUACGGUUUGGUGUUUAGACACAUUUUGGCUUCUCUUAAAAAACCUGAAUGAUUCUGAGAUCAAUGACGUGAGGAACAAGUGAGAUAAAGGAGUUCAGAUCAUGUUAUUGGACUUGCAUGAAACUCUUAAGAGGGGGUUUUCAAGAUUUGAGAUAUCCAUAUAAUAUUUAUUAUUUAUUUCAUAUUUGAUUGUUUUUGAAAACUUGGUAUAAAAGAUUAAAAUGGUCACUGGAAUCCACAAAAGAGUAAUAAUAAUAGUACUUUCGCGACAAACUUAAUGCAUACAAGGAUCAAGAACUUGACCAAGGAACAUAACCAGGCCGCUUCUAUAUUCUUUGACAAGGAAGAGAAAGGGAUGGUCAGCCACGAAGUCGUACUUCUUUCGCGGUUGGAAACAACCGCCAAAACAAGAUAUACUGGUAGCAGCUGCAGCUUUCGUUCCCGCUUCAUCGACCUCAAUGUAAGCCUUGUGGACAAUCUUCUCCAACGGCGUCUUCAAACCCAAACCCUGGAGAGCCUUCGAGACAUCAAAAUCGAGAUCUUUAAAAGAAGUCUCGACAGAGAGAGACUUGUCGAUCCAGACUCCAUUAGCUGCCGAGAUCGUUGGACCGCCACUCGCGGUGCUGUCGGCGAGGAUGUCUGUUACUAUCUUGGAAGACACGGUAUUGAGCUCUUGGGUCGAAGAAGCUUGUAGCAAAGAGAGAAUAUGAUCUGCGGUGGAACCGCCUGACUUGGCGGCGAGGAAGCUGAGGACGACAUUGAUUGACGCCGGCGAAAACACGAGGUUGGAGGUUUUCGCGGCGGGGGUGGUGGCGAUCACGUGAUUAGCCACUCUAAGAGCAAGCUCAUUUUGCUUCCCUACUGAUUUUCGGAGGUCUAUAUUUUAAGGCGCGGUGAGACGGUGAAUAUGAAAGCCAAAG